AUUGAACGCUGGCGGCAGGCCUAACACAUGCAAGUCGAGCGGAUGAAGGGAGCUUGCUCCUGGAUUCAGCGGCGGACGGGUGAGUAAUGCCUAGGAAUCUGCCUGGUAGUGGGGGAUAACGUCCGGAAACGGGCGCUAAUACCGCAUACGUCCUGAGGGAGAAAGUGGGGGAUCUUCGGACCUCACGCUAUCAGAUGAGCCUAGGUCGGAUUAGCUAGUUGGUGGGGUAAAGGCCUACCAAGGCGACGAUCCGUAACUGGUCUGAGAGGAUGAUCAGUCACACUGGAACUGAGACACGGUCCAGACUCCUACGGGAGGCAGCAGUGGGGAAUAUUGGACGAUGGGCGAAAGCCUGAUCCAGCCAUGCCGCGUGUGUGAAGAAGGUCUUCGGAUUGUAAAGCACUUUAAGUUGGGAGGAAGGGCAGUAAGUUAAUACCUUGCUGUUUGGACGUUACCAACAGAAUAAGCACCGGCUAACUUCGG
rnacentral:rRNA from 1 species